rnacentral:rRNA from 1 species
UACAGAGGGGGCAAGCGUUGUUCGGAAUUACUGGGCGUAAAGGGCGCGUAGGCGGCCUUCUAAGUCGAACGUGAAAUCCCUGGGCUCAACCCAGGAACUGCGUCCGAUACUGGAAGGCUUGAAUCCGGGAGAGGGAUGCGGAAUUCCAGGUGUAGCGGUGAAAUGCGCAGAUAUCAGGAGGAACACCGGUGGCGAAAGCGGGUCUCUGGGCCGAUACUGACGCUGAGGAGCGAAAGCGUGGGGAGCGAACAGG